GUCCUUGCCGCGCAAUUUAUAGCGCGUUGGACUUCUAAUCCAGAGACCAUGGGUUCGAAUACCACCUGGGAUG